rnacentral:rRNA from 1 species
CCUACGGGAGGCAGCAGUGGGGAAUCUUGGACAAUGGGCGCAAGCCUGAUCCAGCCAUGCCGCGUGAGUGAUGAAGGCCUUAGGGUCGUAAAGCUCUUUCGCCAGAGAUGAUAAUGACAGUAUCUGGUAAAGAAACCCCGGCUAACUCCGUGCCAGCAGCCGCGGUAAUACGGAGGGGGUUAGCGUUGUUCGGAAUUACUGGGCGUAAAGCGCGCGUAGGCGGAUUAGUAAGUUAGAGGUGAAAUCCCGGGGCUCAACCCCGGAACUGCCUUUAAUACUGCUAGUCUUGAGUUCGAGAGAGGUGAGUGGAAUUCCGAGUGUAGAGGUGAAAUUCGUAGAUAUUCGGAGGAACACCAGUGGCGAAGGCGGCUCACUGGCUCGAUACUGACGCUGAGGUGCGAAAGUGUGGGGAGCAAACAGGAUUAGAUACCCUGGUAGUCCACACCGUAAACGAUGAAUGCCAGUCGUCGGGUAGCAUGCUAUUCGGUGACACACCUAACGGAUUAAGCAUUCCGCCUGGGGAGUACGGUCGCAAGAUUAAAACUCAAAUGAAUUGACGG